UACGGAAGGCAGCAGUGGGGAAUAUUGCACAAUGGGCGAAAGCCUGAUGCAGCUAUGCCGCGUGUAUGAAGAAGGCCUUAGGGUUGUAAAGUACUUUCAUCGGGGAGGAAAAAACAAAACUAAUAAUUUUAUUUCUUGACGUUACCCGAAAAAGAAGCACCGGCUAACUCCGUGCCAGCAGCCGCGGUAAUACGGAGGGUGCUAGCGUUAAUCAGAAUUACUGGGCGUAAAGAGCACGUAGGUGGUUUUUUUAAGUCAGAUGUGAAAUCCCUGGGCUUAACCUAGGAACUGCAUUUUGAAACUGAAAUACUAGAGUAUCGUAGAGGGAGGUAGAAUUCUAGGUGUAGCGGUGAAAUGCGUAGAUAUCUGGAGGAAUACCUGUGGCGAAAGCGGCCUCCUAAACGAAUACUGACACUGAGGUGCGAAAGCGUGGGGAGCAAAACAGGGAUUUAGAUACC
rnacentral:rRNA from 1 species